rnacentral:rRNA from 1 species
UGGGGAAUCUUGCGCAAUGGGCGAAAGCCUGACGCAGCCAUGCCGCGUGAAUGAUGAAGGUCUUAGGAUUGUAAAAUUCUUUCACCGGGGAAGAUAAUGACGGUACCCGGAGAAGAAGCCCCGGCUAACUUCGUGCCAGCAGCCGCGGUAAUACGAAGGGGGCUAGCGUUGCUCGGAUUUACUGGGCGUAAAGGGCGCGUAGGCGGACAGUUUAGUCAGAGGUGAAAGCCCGGGGCUCAACCCCGGAAUU